AACGAACGCUGGCGGCAUGCCUAACACAUGCAAGUCGAACGAGACCUUCGGGUCUAGUGGCGCACGGGUGCGUAACGCGUGGGAACCUGCCCUUAGGUUCGGAAUAACUCCCCGAAAGGGGUGCUAAUACCGGAUAAUGUCUUCGGACCAAGAUUUAUCGCCUUUGGGUGGGCCCGCGUUGGAUUAGCUAGUUGGUAGGGUAAAAGCCUACCAAGGCGACGAUCCAUAGCUGGUCUGAGAGGAUGAUCAGCCACACUGGGACUGAGACACGGCCCAGACUCCUACGGGAGGCAGCAGUGGGGAAUAUUGGACGAUGGGCGAAAGCCUGAUCCAGCAAUGCCGCGUGAGUGAUGAAGGCCUUAGGGUUGUAAAGCUCUUUUACCCGGGAUGAUAAUGACAGUACCGGGAGAAUAAGCUCCGGCUAACUCCGUA
rnacentral:rRNA from 1 species